GCCCCCGUAGCUCAGUGGAUAGAGCGUCGGACUUCUAAUCCGUUGGUCGCAGGUUCGAAUCCUGCCGGGGGCGCCG
rnacentral:tRNA from 1 species